CCUACUACCUACAGUCUCAUUUAUGGUCCCUCCUACCCAUUGUUCUGUUCCCUUCUAACCUCCUGUCACGGUGACUAGGUCUUCAGGCCACUAUUCCCAAUGUCUUAUUCCAGUCUUUCCUAAUUGCCUCUCCUGUUUGAUUGUAGGCAAGCUCACCCAGUGUUGGUAACCUGGGGCGGACAAUCCCAAAGUAAGGUCUAAGUAGAUCAGGUGAGACUCACCCUGUGCCAGACAGGAUGCAACUGUCUCAUUAGGCUCAUAACAGCAUUGCUGUGGGAGUAACAAGCUGGGGUGAUGGAUGAGCAAUGACUGAGAGAGACCAAGUAUGUGUCCAGAAGUGCAGGUGCCUUCAGAGGUCAGAAGAGGUCAGAUCACCUGGAGUUGGCAUCAUAGGCAGUAUGAGACGCCUGCCACGGAAGCUGGGCACUGAGCUCAGGUCCUCUGCAAGAGCCGCUACACCCGCUUAACCACUGAGCCAUCUCUCUAGCUCUGCUUAGGGCUUUUUUGGUAUGGAAGCAGGAUUGAGUGACUUAGAAGGGUGGUAUCGGGGCUGAGAUGGCUCUGGGGAGGAGGUAAAGCAAAUCUGUCAGGGAGAGAUCAAUAGUGGAAUCAUGAAGUACUAAAGGGACAGUGAAUUUUAAUUACUUUAAUGUGUAUCUACUUGUGAAAGGGCCACUCUGGUGCUCUUGAGCCAGUGGGUGGGAGAGAGCUUAGGGACAGAGGCAUUAGCAUUUCAGGAUCCCUCUGGAGCUGCCCCAGCUUCUACCUUUUAAUGUACACAGGAGAAAGGCAGAAGACACCAAAGUGUUUGUCUGCUCAGAACAGCU